GACGAACGCUGGCGGCGUGCUUAACACAUGCAAGUCGAACGGAAAGGCCCUGCUUUUGUGGGGUUCUCGAGUGGCGAACGGGUGAGUAACACGUGAGUAACCUGCCCUUGACUUUGGGAUAACUUCAGGAAACUGGGGCUAAUACCGGAUAGGAGCUCCUGCUGCAUGGUGGGGGUUGGAAAGUUUCGGCGGUUGGGGAUGGACUCGCGGCUUAUCAGCUUGUUGGUGGGGUAGUGGCUUACCAAGGCUUUGACGGGUAGCCGGCCUGAGAGGGUGACCGGCCACAUUGGGACUGAGAUACGGCCCAGAAUCGUACGGGAGGCAGCAGUGGGGAAUAGUGCACAAUGGGCGGACGCCUGAUGCAGCAACGCCGCGUGCGGGAUGACGGCCUUUGGGUUGUAAACCGCUGUCGACUGUGACGAAGCGUGAGUGACGGUAAUGGGUAAAGAAGCACCGGCUAACUACGUG
rnacentral:rRNA from 1 species